GGAAGGAUCAUCAUAGGAUUUAGAUAGCCUGGGCUCUCCACAGUUGGCUUGAACAGAGCUUGGCUGUGGGGGACCCAUCCUACCCAUUCCCAGCAAAUGUUUUUUUGAGGGAGCUUGGUUGACUGAGCAAUAAUGCGAGGACAUGUGGGGAGAAAAGAGCAAACAACUUUCAACAACGGAUCUCUUGGCUCUCACAUCGAUGAAGAACGUAGCAAAGUGCGAAAAGUAGUGUGAAUUGCAGAAUUCCGUGAAUCAUCGAGUGUUUGAACGCAUCUUGCGCUCCCCGGCAUUCUGGGGAGCAUGUCUGUUUGAGUAUCGUGAACACAGCUCUAGUCAGCCCUGGGCAUGGUGUGCUCUCAUGCAUACACGCCCACGGGGCUGGAGAUUGAGUGUCUUGCAUACCUUGUCACUUGGACACGGUUCACUCGAAAUGGAGUGGCUUGGGAGGGUGGGCUGCCACAGCGUCGGUGGCCCCCUUGAUCGCGACUGGUGUAGAGCUUUUGGCUUGGCGUUGAGGGCCUCGACAGUCUGCGCACCAAGGGGGGAGCCGGGGCGGUAAACGUGGCAACCAUCAUCACGGGUGUGUGCUUUGGUGCGGGACAACCCGUCCCAGUUCCAACAGCAACGCACGGUGGCCCAGCCAGACAGCAACCGGGAUGUGUGCUUGCCUGGAUUGGCAGGCUUUUCAAAGGCGAUCUCAAAUCAGACAAGACGACCCGCUGAAUUUAAGCAUAUAACUAAGCGGAGGAAAAGAAACUAACCAGGAUUCCCCCAGUAACGGCGAGUGAAGCGGGAACAGCUCAACUUUGGAAUCAGCCAGCGGGGUCACAGCCCUGGCCGAAUUGUAGUUUCAAGAAGGAGAUGUUGAGGACACGGCGCGGGCUGGCGCAAGUUCUUUGGAACGAGACAUCACAGAGGGUGACAAUCCCGUGCAUGGCCAGCGCGCGCGCAGUCCGGCAAAGACACUCCUUUCCAAGAGUCGGGUUGUUUGGGAGUGCAGCCCAAAGCGGGUGGUAAACUUCAUCCAAGGCUAAAUAGCGGUGAGAGACCGAUAGCGAACAAGUACCGUGAGGGAAAGGUGAAAAGCACUCUGAAGAGAGAGUGAAAAGCACGUGAAAUUGUUGAAAGGGAAACGCUUGAAACCAGUCGAGGCUGGCCUUGGUCGGUGGGCCUGCACUGGGGCGCAGCCGCGUCUCUGGAGCACGGCCCACGCCACGACCACGGGCCGGCAUGUCAACAUCAGUUUGGGGAGCAAUGUGGGAAAAGGCCGGCAAGACCUGUUGGUUGGCUGGCCGACCCUUGUGGCGACCAGCCAAGCUUGCCCGGCAUAUACCACAAGACCAGACUGAGGACAGCGGGCCGGGCUGUAUGUGGACCUGGGUUAGACGCGGCGUCGGCAGGGUGCGGCGCGAGACAGCAUCGCUCGACUCGCGCCCACACCAGCGUGGCGGCGCGUCAUGCCAGGGCCCGCUGGCAUUCGCACUUUUGUGGUGGCGGCGACAGCACACGGCGCUCGGAUGUUGACGAAAUGGUUCCAAACGACCCGUCUUGAAACACGGACCAAGGAGUCUAACAUGCAUGCGAGUAUUUGGGUGGGCUAAACCCAGAUGCGCAAUGAAAGUGAGCUUGUACAAGAGGUGGGACGUGCUUGUGGUUUGCACAGCGCACCGCACCAUCGACCGGUCUCGCAAUGGCCCCGGCCUGAGAGAACCGAGUGCGAGCCAUGCAUGCUGGGACCCGAAAGAUGGUGAACUAUGCCUGAAUAGGGUGAAGUCAGACGAAAGUCUGAUGGAGGCUCGCAGCGAUUCUGACGUGCAAAUCGAUCGUCGAAUUUGGGCAUAGGGGCGAAAGACUAAUCGAACCAUCUAGUAGCUGGUUCCUGC
rnacentral:misc_RNA from 1 species